rnacentral:sRNA from 1 species
AACAUGUCUACAAUACUCCCAUCAACAAU